CUCCCCUCUGGCUCAAACCACACAUCAGCAGAAUGAGACCAGGACGAGCCCGUGAACCAGACUCCAGAAAAUACAAUAUCUGCUUGUAAUAUUCUGACCAUAAAUAAAUCCUCUUAACUGAU